AGUUGCACAGACUUUCUUCCUUGUUGGAGUCCAUCCCAGAAAACUUCAGCUGCGUGUCAAGGAAAAAAACAGCACGAAACCAUUUACUAACAUCUGCAGGUCUCAACAAGACCCUCCCACACCUGUUUCUGGCAAACAAUAGCGGGUCAAAACAGUUACCUCAUCUAGCUCAGAGACUCGGCUGACAUAAUCCAAACCUCCUGUAAACAUUUCCACUGGCUUCGCCCGCACCGCUUGCUAACCUUGACGGGCGUCGGUAAACAUGGAGCUGUUUUAGUCAUUAACUAACACCGGCUGGAUUCAGCUCGAAGGGGCGGCCGGCCGGUUGGUUGGCCUAAGGCUUCAUCACUCAUUAACUCAGGCGGGGACAAUCAGACGACGCUCCUGUUGACAAAGUGUGACUCACUUGCUUUGUGCAACAAGAGGAGAGAGGCAGACUAAUCAGGAGAGGAUACGCUGACCUUCGAGUGGAUGCUUAUGAAAAGAUAGGCCGUGGUAAGACAAAUGCCAGACGUGUGGCUGUGGAUCAGGUUCACGGCCAGGUCUGCUGCAGCCGACAUGAUAACGGGAUUCAAGGAGCUGGAGGAAGACUGCUGACUUGACAGUUAACCAGCAGACAGUCAACAACACCCUUGAGAAGAAGGGAAAAGGCACUGCUAACAGAGUGUUCAAAGAGUGCUUUAUCUAAGCAUAUUCCUGGAAAGCUGAGUGGAAGGAAAAAGUGUGGUAGGGAAAGUUGCACAAGCAACAAGUUAAACAGCAGUCUUGAGAGGAUUGCAAAGCAAAGCCCAUUCAAGAGUUUGGGUGAAGGUUCACAAGGCGUGGACUGCAGUUGGAGUCACAGCUUCAAGAGCCACCAAUUAUACACAUGUUCAGGACAGAAGCUUCAAAUGCUGCAUCCCUUGUGUUAAGAUACUCCAGAACCAGGGACUACUUCAGAAGCACAGAAUCCAUGUCGCUUGAAGUCCAGGGUAAAGUUUCCAUAGUCAGUGAUGAUUUGCCUUUCAUCAAGUCCAAAGUCAACGCAGCCAUCCACCAGGAAGCUUCAGAACCCUCCAUGCUUCCUUCUGCAGACAAGCUUUAUAGCGAUGCUGAUUUUUAUCUUCCAGCAGGACUUGAUACCUGCCCACAUUGCCAAAGGCACCAGUACCUCAUUUAAUGACCAUGGUAUCACAGUGCUUAACUGGCCAAACUGGCCUGACCUAAACCUCAGGUAAUCCAUGUACUGUCCAGAAGAAGAUGAAACACUAGAGUCAGCAAUGGAGACGAGAUGAAAGCCACUAUUAAGGUAACCUGGACUUCCUGAACGCCCCAGCAGAACCACAGCCUGGUCGUCUACACGCCACGGCCCAUUGAUGCAGACAAUACAGAUGAAACUGGACAUUUUUACAUAAGCUGCAUGAAAAUAAAAAAUAUAUCACAGAUAAUAAAUCUAAUAAAACCUU